rnacentral:rRNA from 1 species
CCUACGGGAGGCAGCAGUGGGGAAUAUUGCACAAUGGGGGAAACCCUGAUGCAGCGACGCCGCGUGAGUGAAGAAGUAUCUCGGUACGUAAAGCUCUAUCAGCAGGAAAGAAAAUGACGGUACCUGACUAAGAAGCCCCGGCUAACUACGUGCCAGCAGCCGCGGUAAUACGUAGGGGGCAAGCGUUAUCCGGAUUUACUGGGUGUAAAGGGAGCGUAGACGGCGCUGCAAGUCCGGAGUGAAAGCCCAUGGCUUAACCAUGGUACUGCUCUGGAAACAGUAGAGCUUGAGUGCGGGAGGGGCAGGUGGAAUUCCUAGUGUAGCGGUGAAAUGCGUAGAGAUUAGGAGGAACACCGGCGGCGAAGGCGGCCUGCUGGACCGUAACUGACGUUGAGGCUCGAAAGCGUGGGGAGCAAACAGGAUUAGAUACCCCAGUAGUC